AAAACAUGUCAAUAUUCAUUUAUCUUUGAACUUUGAAAAAUAUUAUUUAUUUAUUUAUAUAUUUGUAUAUCGUAGCUACAAGAAUGAGUUAAAUUGUUUACUUGGAUGAAGAAGCAACUAAAAUAAAAUGAAUAUUAAUUUCUUUUGUAAUCCUGAAGGGUCUUUAGAAUUUACGGUUUACAAAGACUACUUUUUAGAGACGAUUACCAACCAACUACUAAGAAUAGUUUUUAGUUGAACGUCACCAACUAACUACAAACGUUCAAUGUCGUCAACCUUAAUUUGUCAUUUUACAGUGACCGCCAUCAACCACCUCAAACCUGAUAGAACUAAUUCAUGCACAGCGGAAAAAGAAUCGAAUUUCUACCCUAAUUGCCACAAUUAACAUCUAACCAUAAAUUAAUCAAAUUAGGGUUUUAAGAAGUAUUACCUUUGAAGUCUUCUUACCAAUUCUACCCGAGACCACCACUAGUGCUCAACUGCUAUCCUCUAGACAAAGAACCGGGUUGUGGGACCCAAUUUUGGUGUAGAAAAUAAUGGAGAUAAAAUGAGAUUGGAAGCUUUCUUUUUUUUCUUUUGUUGAGAUUAUGAAAAUGAUAAAAGAGGCAAAAGUCCUUCAACAUUUGAAAACAUCUCUAUUUAUAGCCUAAUUACAUGCAAAAAUGCAUGCAAUUCAAUUGCCAAAUCUCAACACCUAAUAUUCCACUAACAAUUAUUGGAACUUAGUGGGCUAGGUGUCUAUAUCUCAUAUAGCCACAUAUCCCACUAAGAGUUAGUGGGAUUAUCCAACAAAAUGUUGGAUUUUCCCACUAACUUAGUCCAAGGGUAAAAUGGUCAUUAGAUUUUUCUAGUCAAAAGUCAAACUUUGACUUUUCUAAGUCAAAAGUCAAUAUUUUGACUUUUUACCAUUUUGUCCGUCUUGACUAAUUCCAACCUCCCGAGCAUGAAUCCGCAUUCAUUUUUCCAAAAUUCAAAUCACAUUUGAAUAUAAUGCCGGUCAAAGUUUGACUUUUCAAAGUCAAAAGUCAACAUUUUGACUUUUUACUAUUUUUUGACCAAUUCCGAGCUUCUUAGUAUGAAUCCGCAUUCAUACUUAUAGUAUGUAGAACAUAAAGCUCUAUUUCUAAUUAGAAGACCGACGACUAUAUCACUAUAUUUGUCGGUUUCCCUUUCUUCUCCCAAUUCGAACAAUUCGACUUAUUUCAUCACACUGUUCUAAGUUUAAUCCAUAUGAGCUAGCAGAGGAACCUAAUGGACCUAUAGAUCAUGGGCUCCAACGAUUCAAGAUUAACUAGCUAAACUCUUUUAAACCGAGUUAAUCAACAUUCGUUAACUAACGGGUCACUCCACUAAAGUCUCGUAGUUGCACUCCCCUCACUAUAGAUAUAUUUGUGUCCAUUUGAUAAAACCAUAAUCAGUAAGUUAAUCCUUCACAGGUUGCUCGUAACCUUGGCUGGGUCAAAAUACCGUUUUACCCCAAGAUUACAUCUUGCUCCUUAAGUCCCACUAAUCCACUAUUGAACAAUUGGUUUAAGGUUCAACCUAUAAACUUAAUCCCUCUCGGGCCAAUGAGAGGGUGGGGCCCCUUGUUCAAGACUUGGAUUCAGUGCUUAAGAGAGCAACCUAUCUACUAACCCUAAAGCGGGUAGGAGUGAAUUCCAUCUUGUACCCUAUGUUCCCAGCUGUCCACCCGAUCUUACCCCUGAAAUGGGAGGCUUAUUGGCCAACGCUGAUGAGCUGCCUCACCUAUGCAGAUCUAAGGAUAAUCUCGUAUGAACAGGAGUUCAUAGUUAACUCAGGAUUAAGACUAAGUUACCUAGGUCAUCAAUAAUUGAGAUAGUCAGUUUUAAACAGUAAACGGUGUUAUAACGUAAAAAUGACUAAUUCAUGGUUCAGUCUUAUGUAAACAUUUUACAUAGGAUGCCCCCACUUUCAUGUCUCUACAUGAACGAUUAGGAUCACAUCGUUUGUACUACAAAGUGGGCCGCAUCCAUAGUUUCUCUAAAUAAGGCGCCCAACCUUUAUUUCAUAUACUAUAGACUAUUUAGGCUAUAUACUCGAACUUGAUCCACGUUUAUGUUUACACAUAAAGUUCAAGUUUAUUCAAAAAUAGCCUUGGAACUUGAUUUAUUGGAUUUAAGAUUAUAAUAUUUAAUUUCUCAAUAACAACUUUAUUGAACAGAAUAUGAUUUACAAACUACGAGUUUUAGGACAAAAUUCCAACAAAACCAACAUCCUCGAUGAUCGUUAACCAACUUUUAUCGAAAUCUCCACGGAUAAAUCCUUUUAUUGUAAUCGAAAAUUAUAAAAAAACACAUUUCUUUUUAUUUUAAAAAGUUUUUAGACAAAUAUAAUGUUUAAAUGAAAAUUCUUUUUUGUUAUAAAAAAAAAAAAAACUUUGUUUUUAAUGUGCUCUUUUCCGAUCCUUAGGUUAGGUGAGAGAUGCUCCAUUAACAAAAUAUGUUUUUAUAUAUUUAACUUAUAUAUACCUCUGUUCAAUUGUUAGUAAGUUUUUCUUUAAGACCUGUCUCUGGUUGCUCCAAUUAAUUAACUACAUCAUUUCAUUAAGAAUUAGCAACCUUUCUUUCUUUUAAGCACGAUACCAUGUAGAACAAUCUCAAUACUCAAUUACCAAAAGUUGAUCAACUUUAUUAGUUAGUAAACCUUUGGUAAAUACAAUCUCUUGUUCUUUCUUUUCUUCUAAACUUUUUUCCCUUUUCUAACUUUCUUUCUAUAAUAGCUCAUACUAAUUAAGGUAAGCUUGAGUAUGUUGAAGGUGAGGGGAGUUCUCACACUUAUAGGAAGUCAAAGUUCCAUUGAGAGAGAGUCUCACACUUUAGGAGAAGUCAAGUGAAAACUUUCUAAGUUUGGGCUAUUCUCGAGGUGUCACUGUAAUUAUAAUUUAUUUAGGUGUAAGUAUAUCGUUGGUAAUUGUUUGACUUUAUAUUGAAGAAGGAAGAGAAAAAAAAUAUGUUAAAAAUAGAGAAGUAAGAUAGUGUUGAGAUUUAUGUCCUAAAACUCGUAGAUUGUAAAUAUAAUUCAUUGGAUCGUUAUUAAUAAAAUGGUUAUUAUUAUAGGUUUCAAUAAAUGUCAUUCAUUAUAUUAUUAGUUUUGUCUUAAUAACCUAAAUCUAAUAAACUGAAAUCCUAAGUUGUUUGAUGAGUCUUGAACAAUAUGUAGAGACAUACAAUGAUCAACGUUCGAGAUUAAGGGGUCUAUAGUAGAGGGAUAAGGUUGGGUACCUUAUCCUGGUAACACUAUGGAUACGACUCACCUUGCAUUUAAUUACCCAAGACCGAGUGAGGAGCUGGAAACAUAAUUACCCAAGAUGGAAUUCACUCCUUUCUAACUUCAUGAUAAGUAAAUGAGUGUUUUCUUAAAUGGUGUCUCCAGAACUUAAACAAAGGGCCCUACCCUCUUUAUGGCACGAGAGGGGUUUUUGUGUAUUGGUUGAACCAUAAACAUAUUGUUCAUUAAAAGAGCACUGGUAUUUAAUGACUUAGAAAGAGUAACCACCAAAGGGCAAAAUUGGUAAUUUUGAUGGCAACGGUAGGACAUGCAUAGUGAAAUAAGGAUCAAACUUUACUAUAAUUACAACUAAACAAAUUUAGUAAUUAACAUGCAUAAUAACCCUAAUAUAAACAAAGAUAGGGUGAAAAGAAAAACUCGCAUUUGAUUGCUUUUCUCUUCUUGUAAUCUCCUCAACAACUUUUUGCAAUCUCCUCACAAUUCUCGAAUCCAGGACUACCACUAGAGUGACUGGCAAUUCUUUGGACUUGGAACCGAGUUUUGGGACUGAAAGAAGGUGGAGGAAUUAGAGAGGGAUGAUACGUUUUGGAGGAAUCUAACUCUUAAAUUUUUUUUGUUGUUGAGAGUAAAAGAAGUUCUUAGAUUAUUUGUUUGUAAUUCACCAUUACAAAAUUACUUUUUGCAUCAGAAACACAAGAGUCCUUUCAUCUUUGCAGAAGAAACUUUUACAAGCAAACUACAUGCAAGAGCUUUCCUAUAUCACCUCUUGGCAUUCUUAAUGGGGUAGGUAUCUUGCAUGCAAUAAGCCACUUGCAUACCACAUGCAAGUGAUAAGUGUUUGUCAAAUCUCAACAAGUGUUACUAUUUAAAUUAGUUUAAGGGCAAUGUGGUAAUUUAACAUUUCAAUCAAAUUCCAAAAUUUUGGACUUUUUAAGUUCCAAAGUUCAACAUCAUUUUGACUUAUUACCAUUUUGUCUGUCUUGACUAAUUUCGACCUUUCGAGUAUGAAUCCACAUUCAUUCUCUAAAAUUCAAAUCACAUUUGAAUAUAAAGUCGGUUAAAGUUUGGCUUUUCAAAGUCAAAAGUCAACAUUUUGACUUUUCACAACUUUGACCAUUUCCAUCAAUUCUUAAGCUUUCAAAUACGAAUCUAUAUUCAUAUUUUUAAUAUUUAAAUCAUAUUUAAACAUGAAACUCUAUCUUAAGCUUAUAACUAACGACUAUAUCAAAUAUAUUUGUCGGUUUCUCUCUCUUUACCUAAUUCGAACAAUUUGAAUUAUUCUAUAAUAAUGUUCUAAGUUGGAUUUCUUGUGAAGCUUGUAGGGAACCUAAUGGACCUAUAGAUCAUGGGCUCAAACGAUCUGAGUUUAACUAGUUUAAACUCUUUGAGAUCGAGUCAAUCAACAUUUGUUAACUAAUGGAUCAUUCCACUAAAUUCCCGUAGUUGCACUCCCCUCACUAUAGAUAUAUUUGUGUCCAUUGUGAUAUAACCAUGAUAAGUAAGUUAAUCCUCCACAGGUUGUUCGUAACCUCGUAGGUCAAAGUAUUGUUUUACCCCGAAUUACUAUAUCUUGCUCCUUAAGUCCAACUGAUCCACUAUUGAACAAUUGGUUUAAGGUACAACCUUUAAAUUAAAUCCCUCGGAGUUAAUGAUGUUUAAGGUACAACCCUUAUUUAUGUCUUGCGCCCUAUGUUCCUAGCUAUCUACCCGGUUCUUUACCCAUGAAAUGAGAGGCUUAUUAGGGCCAGCGUCAUUGGACUGUCUUCACCUAUACAGAAUCGAAGGAUAAUUUCGUGUGAAUAAAAGUUCGUAGUUAGCUCAGGAUUAAGAUUAAGUUAUAUUGGAUAUCAAUAAACGAAAUAGUCGGUUUUAUUAAAUUCAACGAUGUUAUAACUUAAAAAUGACUAUUUCAUAGUUCCAGUCUUAUGUAAACCUUUUACAUAGGAUGCCCCCACUUCCAUGUCUCUACUGAACGAUUCAGGAUCACAUCGUUUGUACUAACUACAAAGCAGACCACAUCCAUAGUGUCCCAGAAUAAGGUGUCCAACCGUAUUCGUAUACUAUAGACUAUUUAGGGUAUAUACUCGAACUUGAUAACGUUAUGUCUCUACAUAAAGUUAAAAUUUAUUCAAUAAUAGCCUUAGGUUCUUAGUUUAUUGGCUUUAAGAUUAUAGUAUCAAUAACGACUUUAUUGAAUAAAAUAUGAUUACAAACCACGGGUUUUAGGACAUAAAUUUCAACAAACUCUGACUUGGACUAAAACUCCUAGAGGAUAAAACAAUGUUGAAUUUAAUAAUGAGAGAACUAUUAUUAUGAAUACAAUAAACUAGGGUUUUCUCCCAAAUUUUCUCCCACUUGUCCUUGUGCACAAACUUCAUGGACCUAAACUCUUUUAGGUGACCUUCAUACACUUUAGCCGUGAAGGACUUUGUAAACUAAAAUAGUCAUAAUUUGCUCAACAAGUAUCAUGGUUACUACAACGUCACUACGAUGCACAAUCACCCAGAUAAGGUAUUACAAUUUUACUUUACGCUUCUUCACACUUCUGCUUUCCACUUAGAGUGAAUAUUGAUUUCGAUAUACACUUUCUAGCACUUUUAGAAAUCAUAAUCAAUGUAUCCAGUAAGGAUCAGAUCCUUAACACUAUAUAUAGACAAGCUCGUAGUCUUUUGUUCUACUAAGAUAUUUUAGAAUAUUCUUAAAGGUUGUCCAGUAAUCACAUCCGGGAUUGGACUGAUACCCACUGACCAUCCCUGCUGAGUAGCAAAUGUCAGGUCUAGUACAUAACAUUGCAUACAUCAAACUCCCAACAACGGAAGCAUUAAUAUCCUCAACUUUUUGAGAUGUUUUAAGACAUUGUUUCUUUGACAAAUGAAUUCCAUAUAUGUAUGGUAGCAGACCAUUCUUAGACUUGUGCAUCCAAUAUCUUGACAACAUUUUGAUGCUUGAAACAUGGCUAGAGUACUUUUGUUUUUAAGAUUCUGAACAAUUUGGAUUCCGAGAACAUAUUGUGCAUCUCUCCAAAUCUUUCAUUUGAAAUUGCGUAGAUAGUCAUUCUUUGAUGUGUUAAGGUGGUGUCCCCAAUUUAGGAUUUUAGUAGAUUAAGAGGCGUCAAGCUACGUGAGUUUUUCAUUUUUUGUAUUUUUUAAUUUAAAAGCACACUUAGCCUUUUAGAAUUUUUUUAUAUUUGCCAAUGUAUCAAUAUUUUGGAAUUCCCAAAUUAAAUUAAGGAAUAGUUAAAAUCUUUCGCUAUCAUGCGGUGUAAUCUUUCGCUAUCUGUUUUUUUCCUUUUCCAGAGGGAGCGUUACUUGAUUUACAGUUCUUUUUAAGAAAUAAAACAAAACCAAAUAUCAUUCGGUGAACAUGCAUUAUUAAAAUAGAAACAAAUUUUAUAUCCCAAAUAACCCUGCAAACAUUCCAGAGUCCAGUCAACACAAUUUGUUGAAAGUCUUGUUAGGGUCUUAUUUUACUUCCCUGUAUAUUAAUAACAAACAAACAACCAUUCCUCGUAGUAAAAUCAUCUCUCUUAGAUGGCACUUUGAACAUACAAUCACAAUAAUCAUCCAAAAACAAAAGACACCUGUAAUUGUCUAUUUUCAAUAUAACAAUGCAACAAAUCUCCUUACAACACCACUAAUCUCUAACUCCCUACAUUUCAAAAUUCUUACAAAGCAAACACCAUUAUGCACUAUAAACAAACAAACAUCCAUUAAUCCUUCUCAUUCAUACCAUUUCAACACAAAGACGUUAUUAUUACUGGAAACAACUUUAAUCUUUUUCUUCCACACCAAUGGCGUUUCAAAGACUUAUGCCAUUAUUGUUAGUUCUCUUGUUGCUAACCUCCUUCAACGUGUCGAUGGCAAAGAAAAAAAAGGCAAAAAGCAAAACCGAGAAGCCAGAUUUACCAGAUCCCAACAAUCCUAUUGUCUCGUUCGAAAAGUUUAGAGUUGAAAUUCACAAUGACUUGAAUAUGUACUUGUUAGAUAGUCGUUGCUACUCAAAAGACGACAAUUUCGGGUUGCACGUGUUGUUCCCAGAUGAACAACAAAAUUGGUCUUUUAAAGGGAAUUGGGAUGACACAACGACUUUUCAUUGUAGGUUGGAGUGGGAAAUUGGGUAUUUAGAAUUUGAUAGUUUUAAAAGUGACCCUGCUUUUGUGACAGAUUUUUGUUGCAACAAAACUUGCAUUUGGAGUGCAAGACAAAGUGGGAUUUAUUUGAAUGAUGCAAAUAACCAAGAAAUAUUUUUUGAUUACUGGGAAAUGCUUAGAUAGGAUAAGAGGUCUACAAUUGAUUGUCUGUGGCCUUCUAAUUAUUUUUAUUGAAUUUACACAUUAUUCUAAUUCAUAUAUUUAUAUAUAUUGAUCAAUGAUUAUUUUUUACAGUUACAUAUGUUUUGUAAUUGUCAGAAGUCAGAGUUUGAUUCAUAUAAAUAAAGUGAUUGGAACUGUUGUUGAUGAUUUGUAAUGUUGAAGUGACAAUUAUUGUUUCAGUGGAAAUUGUUUUCCAUCCCAUAUAGUGAAUUAUUGAUAAAUUUUGAUGUUAUGUGAUUUGGAAGUUAACACCGUGAUGGAUGAAUUCUCAGCCAAACUUACAAAAAUUAUUGUCUCUUACCUUUUAUUUUUUCUCUUUCUUUUUUUUAUUUUGCAAAACUUACAAAAAUUAAAAAAUGAGAAUGCAUCCAUCCAUCUAAACUAGUCUAAUUACUACAUUCAUUUAGAAAUUUAUAAAUUAAUAAAGAUGAGUUAGAACGGAUAUAAUAUAUAUAUAUAUAUAUAUAUAUAUAUAUAUAUAUAUAUUGAUAUAAUUAGACUUUGAUAAGUUUAAUAAUAUUUGACAUAAAUAGUAGAAUGUCAAUGUAUAAUAUAUGCUCCAAAUGUAUCAAGAAGACCCAAAACAAUGGAUGAGUUAGAAAAUAGUAUAUUUAUUUUUUCAAUAACUUUGUCCUGACUAUAUAUAUAUUUUCAUAUGACCCAGCAAUUUGAGUAACAUAAGAUAUAUUAGGAUUCGUUAUUUUGAGUUGUAGCUGUAGAUUAUCCAAAUAGUAUAAUGAUAUUAGUAAACAAAAUCAAUCAUAGAAGCAUUUUUAAUUAAUUAAUUAAUUAAAAUUGAGAUAAAUGGUCAAAAUGGCAACAUAAGUUACAAGUUUGAUCACACUCUGCUCUAUAUUACCAACUUAAUCCUAAGAUGAAAUAUGACGUUUGGAACACAAUCUGUAUCAAAACUUUUCUUAUCUUUCAAUCUAAAAACAUCGUCUUUUAUAUUUGCCCUAUUGAACCAAUAAGUGGACCUAACACAACGUUUAUUUCCUAAAUUUUUAAUAUUUUGUUUAAUUAUUUUUUUUGGAAAGGUAUUGUAAUAAAUGCAAUGGAUUUGCAUUUGAAUUCUAGACCUUUUGUUCACAAGUAUAUACAGGUGCCAGUUGACAGUAGGCGAUUAUUCAAUUAUUUAAUAAGAGUUAUUAUUCUCAUUAUUAUUCAAUUGCAUAUUAUUGUAUAAUAAAUAUCCAUGAAUAUGUUAUUAUAUUCUAAAUGUCUCUAAUAAAUUAUUAUUGUAGAAACAAUAAUAAAUUAAGAUUAGUAUGAGUUAUAAUUUGAUAAUCAUAUACGUUGAUUAUAUAUGUAGAGACAUAAAUUAUAAUCAUAUUUUCUUAUUAGAUAACAAGAAUUGGAUCACUGACCAUUUUUUAGAUUAUUACAUGAACAUAUGUCAUAAAUAAUCUCAAAUAAUUGAUUGUUUUGAUUCUUAGACCUAAGAUUAUCAUAGUGUCAAACAUAAGAAUAUAUUAAACUUUUAUGAUACAAUCAAACGUUGUCUUUAAUCGGAUAAUUAGAAAGGUGGUACUCGAAUACACGUUAUGAAUUAUGUAGUGGACAAUGAUUAUUCAGGAUAGAAUUUAUCUCUUUUUUAUAGAGAGAUAUCUCUGAGCCCCUUGAUUAUAGAUAUCGUGUGAUAAAAGAAUUAAAGAAUUAUUAUAUUAGGUUAUGUUCGAUCAUCAACUUAAUUUAAUAUGAGUAGUCAUAAUGUUUUACUAGAGACCAAUUAUGACUUAUGGGCCAUAAAACUAGUUAUGAGCUCAUUUUCAUAUUAAAUUAACCUAAUGGAUCGCACACGAAAGAACUUGGUCAAAUUUGUCUCAUGGUUAGGUAAUUAAUAAGCCAAUUGGAGAAGUUGAAUAUUAUUAGGAAAUUCUAAGCUUAUAACUAUGAAAUCCAAAGCUUAUUAGGAGACCCUAGGAAACCUAUAAAUAAUACCUAGACCUUUGGCAUUUUAUUUUAUAGAGAAGCGAAAGACAUAAAUUUGUUCUACACAAAGAGAUAAUAGAGAGAGUCGAAUAUCUCACUUUGUGAGGUUCUAGCAAAUCUGAAUUCGAUGAGUCGAAUUUCUAGUUUGUGUGUAGAUACUGUUAAAGAAUGCUUGUGAUUUCUAGUUGUUCUUUUGGACUCACUAAUUUCGUGUGUGUAUAAAAUAAUUGCAAUACGUCACUGAGUCUGGUCAUUGCGCGUGAUGCGCUCAUCGUAACUCUUUAUAUAACAUAUGUUUUAUUUCUGGGCCAUGGGCCAUGGGUCAUGAUCAUAGAAUACGAAAUGCUCACAAUGUACCUCUUCAUCACGUAAUUCCUAAAUCUUUGAUGAGUAGAAGUUUUCCUACUAUUUGCCCAAGUGCAAGCGAAAUAGUAGGUUUACUUGGGUGAUCUAGGGUUGAACACAAAGAAAUUUUUAGAUGUUAGUUCUAGAUUUUAUUUAUUUAGGCGAGUUGAAAGAAUCAAAGAAUAACAAUUGUAGGAAUUGUCGAAUUACACGACGAGAGUCUAAAGGCAAAGUAAAGAUAAAGAUACAAUAGCACAACUAACUUGUAUUAAAGGACAAUAAUGCAACUAACUUGUAUUAAAGGAAUGAAGGCAAGAAUGUCACUAUAUGUUACCCUUCGUAUGAGUAGAGAGACAACUAUGAUACAAUCUAACUCACUAAGACAAACGUAUGAUUAAGGCAUGCUUCUCUCGAAGGCAUAUAUGUCACACAUAACUGCUUUUCAGAGAUUCAUAUGACCAAGUAUAGCUAGUUGAGUUAUAUCAAGAAAAGACUACUUAUAAGUUCUAUAGUAUUUCAUGAUUAAGGACUAGUACCUCUCGGUAUCCAAUGCCCACACUUGCCCACCUUUCGGGGUCCAAAUGUUAGAAACACUAUCGUGAAGAGGCAAAGUUCCUCCCCGCGUGCGCUAGUUAAGUUCUAGCUAAUUUUCCUUUUUGGGUAAUUAGCAACUCAUGUUGUCCAAGCAAUAACAAAAGCACAAUUAACAUGUUAAAACUUAUAAGUGACUAUUCUUAUCAUGACCUAUCACCUACCCAAACUACUUAUAACACAUUGACUUGUAGAGGAAGAGAGAAAUUGAAAUGAACAACUAUGUUUAUAUAAAACUACAAAAAAUGUAGGUCAUAGACCAAUAUACAAUAUAUACAAUAUGAAGCACAAAACAUGAAAGAAACAACAAAUGGAAGACAAAGCAAAUGGAUUAAUAUUACAAGUUAGGAGAUUGACAUAGAUAGCCUUUUUCUCCAUCUACACUCUUCAAGCCCCUUUCUAGCCUAUUCGGGUCCCCCCUCUUGGUUGGUGGAGACAAAAUGCUUGUAUAGUCUGCUUUUCGGUGGGAACUUCUAUUCCUCUUAGUGUGUCAGUGUUGUCACUUGGCCUUGUGAGGUCACAUCAUCCCAACUACCAUCCUUGUUUUGUAGUGAGCUUUCUCAUGUGAUGUCUUGGUUUCUUGCCUGGGGUCAUUAAUCGCCAAGCUAGUUCCGAUCGUGUAGCUUUUGCAUGACAUGUCCUAUGUAAUUUGCUCCUUUCUUAUUUUUCCACUUAUCCCGUAUUUAAACAUGAUAACCACGUAAACCAUGAAUGACACUUAUGCAAGCUGUAUUUCUAAAUACUUAUGCAUUUACAACACAAGCCACGCAUUCUGAGAAUCUUCUUAUGCAUUUGACCUCAUUAUUCUAAUAGGAAAUGGUUACAAUAAUGCUCAUUUCUGCACGUUAUCAACUUCGUAGUGUUUUAGUGAUACAAAUUUGGAGGAUCGUCCGCAUUAGAACAAGGCAGUUCAAAUUUGGAACAUCGAUAUAAAGGUAUGCUUAUUCAUGAUUUAAUUGUUUAUGCAAAGUCUGUUUACAUUCUAAGGGUUGGGUUAGAGAAAAAUUUGUUUUGUUAAUUUCGCUGCAUCUAGCCCUAAUUUGUUUUCCAAUAAUUCUCUCACUCUCACUAGAGUGCUGUGCGCGAUGAUGUUUGAAGAAGUGGGCGGCGGCUACUCUAGGGUUGAAUGGUGAAGGAGAAGAUGAAUAGUAGCUAUGGCACGCAUCACGAGUGGUAUUAAAUAUAUAAAAUACUACUAAUAAUAAUAAACAUCAUCAUCAUCAUCAUCAUCAUCUCAUCAUCAUCAUCAUCAUCAUCAUCAUCAUAACUCAUUAUAUCACCUCUUUUACAUUUUUCCUUAAUAAUUAUAUUGUUCUAGAAUAUAAUUAUUCUUACUUCUCCAUAACUCCUACAUACACAUAUCAAUAAUUACUAAUAAUACUUCCAACUUUACAACUUUAAUUCACCAACUAAUAAAUCCAAAACCAAAUUUUAACAAUAGAAUUUCAAUUUCCAAAAAUUAAUCACACAUCCUUCCAAAACACUUAAUCUCCACGGUUUAAAACAAUUUCACAAGUAACACCCAAAAUUCAACAAAAUAAAAAAUUAAAAUAAAUUAAUAGUUUUGCGGUGUUACAAAGAUAAUCCAAUCAACUUCCAACAAGCUCUACAAAGUUUCAACUCUAAAAAAAGUUGAUAAAUACUAUGGAAGAGGAAAUGAAAUCCAUGAAAAACAAUGACAUUUGGAAACUUGUUGAAUUGUCAUAAGGAGUGAAACCCAUAGGUUGUGAAUGUAUAUUUCAAACCAAAAUGGAUUCACAAGGCAAAAUCAAAAGAUAUAAAGCUCGUCUUGUUGCAAAGGGAUAAUUUUCAAAAGCAAGACAUUGAUUACAAAGAGAUUUUUCUCUGAUUUCGUCGAAAGACUCUUUUAAGAUAAUCAUGGCAUUGGUAGCUCACUUUGAUUUAGAGCUACCUCAUGGAUGUGAAAAUUAUGUUUCUUAAUGAAAACACUGACGAGACAAUUUAUAUGGCACAACCAGAAAACUUUGUAUCUAAUAAUUCAAAGUCUAUGAUAUGCAAAUAGAAGAAAUCCAUCUAUGGUCUGCAAAUUGAUGAAAUCCAUCUAUGGUCUCAAAAAAUCCUCUUGUUAAUGGUAUCACAAAUUCUACGAAGUAAUUGCCUCUUUUGGUUUUGAGGUGAAUAUAGUGAAAAAUUUUGUACAUCACAAGUUCGGUGGGAGUAAAUCUACUUUCCUCGUGUAUAUGUUGAUGACAAACUCAUAGCAAGUAGUGAUGUAGGUUUAUUGCAUGAUACUAAGAGAUUUCUCAAAAGGAAUUUUGAGAUGAAGGAUCUUGGUGAUGUUUCUUUUGUAUUUUGAGAUGCCGCCGCAAAAGAACUACAUUGAAUUUUUUUGUAAUUAUCACAAAAGAACUAUAUUGAAAUUUUUUUAGUAGAUUUGGCAUGAAAGAUUAUGCAUCAGGAGAUACCCCGUUGCUAAAGUUGAUAAAUUUCAUUUAGGUCAAUGCCCCAAGACCACAUUCGAGAUUAAUCAGAUGCAGAAGGUUCCUUAUGCAUCGACUAUUGGAAGCCUAAUGAAUGUUUAAAUUUGCAUGCAUCCAGAUAUUGCGUUCAUAGUCGAAGUGUUAGGCAGAUAUUUGAGAAACCCGAUGAUGGAUUAUUAGAGAGUAGCCAAAUGGGUUAUAAGGUAUUUAAAAAAACAAAAGAUUAUAUGCUCACUUAUCGGAGAUUAGAAAUUUUGGAGAUCAUUUGGUAUUUUGAUUUUGAAUAUGUUGGAUGUGAAUACAAUUUGUGAUCCACUUCAGGUAACUUCAUGUUGGUUAAAGGAGUUAUAUUUUGGAAAAGUGUUAAACAAACACUUAUGGCUUCCUCUACCAUAGAUGUGAAGUUUAUAGCAUGUAAUGAGGCAUCUAGUCAUGGAAUAUGGUUGCGAAAUUUUGUCACUAGGCUGCAAAUAAUAGUUGGCGAAGACGAAUAAAAUUAUUUUUAGUAUUGUAUUCCAAUAACAAUAGAAGCAAUAUAAAGUCAAAGCAUAUGUAGACAUGAAGCUUCUAGUUGUGAAAGAAAGAGAUCAUAGUGGUCAAAAUUUUGAUAAAACACAUAAAGAACAAACUUGAUAAUGACAUAUUAAUUGGCUAAAAGUACACAACUAAAGUUUUCUAUGAGCAUUUUGCUCAUAUUGGUGUUAGUCAAUUUUCUAAUUCCAUGGUUUAGUGGAGCUGUUUGAAUGUUCUUUGACCUUAAUUUUUUUGUUUUCUAUAUAGAAUAAAGUUGAUGGUUUAGUUUUAUCAUCUGAACUUAUUUAUCAUGCAUGCAGUUUUGCAAAUGCAGUUUGGCAUAAAGUUUUUUUAGAAUGAUCUCAGUAAAGAAUUUGGCUCAGUUGGAAACAGACGUGAUCAAAAUCACUUUGCAUGUAGUUUCCAUGCAAUCCAUCCAUACUUGAUCUAUGUCAUUGAGUGUAUUAGAAUUGGUGAUUUAUUAUAAUAAAGUGUAACCUUUAGGGUUCUAGGCAGUCCUGUAAUAAAAUUCAUCGACACAUUCUCCCACUUUCAUUCUGGCACACUCAAGGCUGUAACAAACUUGCUGGUUCCUGUCUAGGUGCCUUAACCUGCUGACACACUAGGCACUUACUAACAAACUCUGCCACUUUCCUCUUCAUAUUAUGCCACCAAUAAAAUCGUUUUAGAUCCUGAUACAUUUUCGUACUACCAGGAUGCAUGGAAAAUGAGGAACUAUGGGCUUCGUUCAAUAAGUCAGUCAUAAUUGUAAUGUCUGCUGGCACACACAGACGUCUCUCAAAAUUACAUUUAUCUUUAUUAAUUUUUCUUGCACUUCAUUCACUUGAAUCUCAAACCACACGAAACACCCUCAUUUACCACUUUAACUAAAAUAUUAACUUUGAGAAACUAAUCUUCAUGCUUCCUUGUAUAUGCUUAGUAGUAUAGGUAGUAUUGAUCGGUAUAGCUUAAAUUUCGUUUGUUUAGUCAUUUACGGAUGAGAGUGAAAAGGCUACAUCACUAUCCUUCAAUCACACCUUUCAAAUUUUCUAUUAAUUAAUUAUUACCGUGAAAAAAUGGAAAAAAAUGACCUUUUUAAUUGUUUGUAUUUCUUUUAUACCUGCAUGGAUGCUGGCUUUUCUAAUUCUUUUCUAAUUUUAGAAAGACUACAAAACAAAAAUCAGUCAACAUACAUCAAACCAUUACAUUUUUAGACAAAGUAUUUUUUAUACUCUAUCCAUAUUAUGAAAAAAAAAAAAAAAAGAUAACAAAAUCAUUCAUGAUAUCAAAUUUCCCUUAAAUUUUUCAACAACUUAACUAUUUUAAGUCUUUUCCACGUCAAAAACUUGUAUAUAUAAACACAUACACGUAACUCACAAGAACAUUGAAUCCUUUAGAAAUUUAGAGGAAACCAAAGUAGCAUUUUACUGGUGAGAUUAUUUCUUUCAAGAAAAAAAUUAAACCUAUGCAUCAAAUCGUAUUAUUAUUCACAUGCCUCUUACUUAUCAUAUUCCGACCAACGGUCGGAAGCAAAGAACAACAAUCGAUCAGAUCUCUUAUUUAUAUCCCGAAGUUUCACCUAGAAAUUCGCAACGAGUUGAAAAUGUAUAUAAUGGAUUGUCAUUGUUUGGCCAAAGAUAACGAUUUAGGGUUACAAAUACUUCUUCCAGAUGAAAGGCAAAGUUGGCCCUUCAGAAGGAACUUUAUGGGAACAACAUUAUUCCAUUGUAGAUUGAAUGGGAAAGAGGGUUUAGGGAAUUUGAUGCAUUUUUUGUUGACGAAGAUUUCGUUAAUCAAUUUUGUCCCCAACUUUCUAUGCGUUUGGAUAGCCAAACAAGAUGGGCUUUACAUGCUGAAUGAAGCUGGUCAACUUGUUUUUCAUCAUCAUUGGAAAUUGCCCGAAUGCCCUCCUUGUAAUGAGGGUUUGGCUCUUAUCAAAUUGGGUUUAUGGGUUAAAUUAAUUAUUUGUCUCCAUUUAUUAUUAAGUCCACCUUGAACAUUUUUCAGGUGUUAUUUAUUUUUUAUUAUUUUUUAAGUUCAACGAAAAUGUGACCUUUUAACCUUUUGAUUAAAGGUAUAUGUUGCAACUAUUGUACUCUAACAAAACUUUUUGAUGUGUGAUGUGACCAAAUAUCUCCACACGUCGUUCAAAACGUGUCAAUAUUCAUUUAUCUUUGAACUUUGAAAAAAUAUUAUUUAUUUAUUUAUAUAUUUGUAUAUCGUAGCUACGAGAAUGAGUUAAAUUGUUUACUUGGAUGAAGAAGCAACUAAAAUAAAAAUGAAUAUUAAUUUCUUUUGUAAUCGUGAAGGGUCUUUAGAAUUUAUGGUUUACAAAGACUACUUUUUAGAGACCAUUACCAACCAACUACUAACAAUAGUUUUUAGUGAACGUCACCAACUAACUACAAACGUUCAAUGUCGUCAACCUUAAUUUGUCAUUUUACAGUGACCGCCAUCAACCACCUCAAACCAACAUCCUCGAUGAUCGUUAACCAACUUUUAUCGAAAUCUCCAUGGAUAAAUCCUUUUAUUGUAAUCGAAAAUUAUAAAAAAACACAUUUCUUUUUAUUUUAAAAAGUUUUUAGACAAAUAUAAUGUUUAAAUGCAAAUUCUUUUUUGUUAAAAAAAAAAAAAAACUUUGUUUUUAAUGUGCUCUUUUCCGAUCCUUAGGUUAGGUGAGAGAUGCUCCAUUAACAAAAUAUGUUUUUAUAUAUUUAACUUAUAUAUACCUCUGUUCACUUGUUAGUAAGUUUUUCUUCAAGACCUGUCUCUGGUUGCUCCAAUUAAUUAACUACAUCAUUUCAUUAAGAAUUAGCAACCUUUCUUUCUUUUAAGCACGAUACAUGUAGAACAAUCUCAAUACUCAAUACCAAAAGUGAUCAACUUUAUUAGUUAGUAAACCUUUGGUAAAUACAAUCUCUUGUUCUUUCUUUUCUUCUAACUUUUUUCCCUUUUCUAACUUUCUUUCUAUAAUAGCUCAUACUAAUUAAGGUAAGCUUGAGUAUGUUGAAGGUGAGGGGAGUUCUCACACUUAUAGGAAGUCAAAGUUCCAUUGAGAGAGAGUCUCACACUUUAGGAGAAGUCAAGUGAAAACUUUCUAAGUUUGGGCUAUUCGAGUGUCACUGUAAUUAUAAUUUAUUUAGGUGUAAGUAUAUCGUUGUAAUUGUUUGACUUUAUAUUGAAGAAGGAAGAGAAUAAAAAUAUGUAAAAUAGAGAAGUAAGAUAGUGUUGAGAUUUAUGUCCUAAAACUCGUAGAUUGUAAAUAUAAUUCAUUGAUCGUUAUUAAUAAAAUGUUAUUAUUAUAGUUUCAAUAAAUGUCAUUCAUUAUAUUAUUAGUUUUGUCUUAAUAACCUAAAUCUAAUAAACUGACAUCCUAAGUUGUUUGAUGAGUCUUGAACAAUAUGUAGAGACAUACAAGGAUCAACGUUCGAGAUUAAAGGGUCUAUAGUAGAGGGAUAAGGUUGGGUACCUUAUCCUGGUAACACUAUGGAUACGACUCACCUUGCAUUUAAUACAAACACAAUGAUCCAACGCAUUCGUGUAGGUGAUAUGCGAGUGAGGUAUCCUAUACAAUGAGUUUGCAUAAGACCAAACCACGAAAUAGUAACCACUAUAUGUAACUCCAUUAACUAGUUAGGUUUCUAUUUCAUUAGGAUGACCUAUGUAACUUAGUCUUAAUCCUGAGUGUAUUAUGAACUUCUGUUCGUGAGGGAUUGUCCUUUGAUUUGUACGGGUGAGAUCAGGGGCUAGAUUGUCGACUCAAUAUGCUUAUCAUUUUGGGGACAAGACCGAGUGAGGAGCUGGAAACAUAAUUACCCAAGAUGGAAUUCACUCCUUUCUAACUUCAUGAUAAGUAAAUGAGUGUUUUCUUAAAUGGUGUCUCCAGAACUUAAACAAAGGGCCCUACCCUCUUUAUGGCACGAGAGGGGUUUUUGUGUAUUGGUUGAACCAUAAACAUAUUGUUCAUUAAAAGAGCACUGGUAUUUAAUGACUAGAAGUAACACAAGGGCAAAAUGGUAAUUUUGAUGGCAACGGUAGACAUGCAUAGUGAAAUAAGGAUCAAACUUUACUAUAAUUACAACUAAACAAAUUUAGUAAUUAACAUGCAUAAUAACCCUAAUAUAAACAAAGAUAGGGUGAAAAGAAAAACUCGCAUUUGAUGCUUUUCUCUUCUUGUAAUCUCCUCAACAACUUUUUGCAAUCUCCUCACAAUCUCGAAUCCAGGACUACCACUAGAGUGACUGGCAAUUCUUUGGACUUGGAACCGAGUUUUGGGACUGAAAGAAGGUGGAGGAAUUAGAGAGGGAUGAUACGUUUUGGAGGAAUCUAACUCUUAAAUCUUUUUUUGUUGUUGAGAGUAAAAGAAGUUCUUAGAUUAUUUGUUUGUAAUUCACCAUUACAAAAUUACUUUUUGCAUCAGAAACACAAGAGUCCUUUCAUCUUUGCAGAAGAAACUUUUACAAGCAAACUACAUGCAAGAGCUUUCCUAUAUCACCUCUUGGCAUUCUUAAUGGGGUAGGUAUCUUGCAUGCAAUAAGCCACUUGCAUACCACAUGCAAGUGAUAAGUUUGUCAAAUCUCAACAAGUGUUACUAUUUAAAUUAGUUUAAGGGCAAUGUGGUAAUUUAACAUUUCAAUCAAAUUCAAAUUUUGACUUUUUAAGUCCAAAGUCAACAUUUUGACUUAUUACCAUUUUGUCUGUCUUGACUAAUUUCGACCUUUCGAGUAUGAAUCCACAUUCAUUCUCUAAAAUUCAAAUCACAUUUGAAUAUAAAGUCGGUUAAAGUUUGGCUUUUCAAAGUCAAAAGUCAACAUUUUGACUUUUCACAACUUUGACCAUUUCCAUCAAUUCUAAGCUUUCAAAUACGAAUCUAUAUUCAUAUUUUUAAUAUUUAAAUCAUAUUUAAACAUGAAACUCUAUCUUAAGCUUAUAACUAACGACUAUAUCAAAUAUAUUUGUCGGUUUCUCUCUCUUUACCUAAUUCGAACAAUUUGAAUUAUUCUAUAAUAAUGUUCUAAGUUGAUUUCUUGUGAGCUUGUAGGGAAACCUAAUGGACCUAUAGAUCAUGGGCUAAACGAUCUGAGUUUAACUAGUUAAACUCUUUGAGAUCGAGUCAAUCAACAUUUGUUAACUAAUGGAUCAUUCCACUAAAUUCCCGUAGUUGCACUCCCCUCACUAUAGAUAUAUUUGUGUCCAUGUGAUAUAACCAUGAUAAGUAAGUUAAUCCUCCACAGGUUGUUCGUAACCUCGGUUAGGUCAAAGUAUUGUUUUACCCCGAUACUAUAUCUUGCUCCUUAAGUCCAACUGAUCCACUAUUGAACAAUUGGUUUAAGGUACAACCUUUAAAUUAAAUCCCUCCGGAGUUAAUGAUGGUUUAAGGUACAACCCUUAUUUAUGUCUUGCGCCCUAUGUUCCUAGCUAUCUACCCGGUCUUACCCAUGAAAUGAGAGGCUUAUUAGGCCAGCGUCAUUGGACUGUCUUCACCUAUACAGAUCGAAGGAUAAUUUCGUGUGAAUAAAAGUUCGUAGUUAGCUCAGGAUUAAGAUUAAGUUAUAUUGGAUAUCAAUAAACGAAAUAGUCGGUUUUAUUAAAUUCAACGAUGUUAUAACUUAAAAAUGACUAUUUCAUAGUUCCAGUCUUAUGUAAACCUUUUACAUAGGAUGCCCCCACUUCCAUGUCUCUACUGAACGAUUCAGGAUCACAUCGUUUGUACUAACUACAAAGCAGACCACAUCCAUAGUGUCCCCAGAAUAAGGUGUCCAACCGUAUUCGUAUACUAUAGACUAUUUAGGGUAUAUACUCGAACUUGAUAACGUUAUGUCUCUACAUAAAGUUAAAAUUUAUUCAAUAAUAGCCUUAGGUUCUUAGUUUAUUGGCUUUAAGAUUAUAGUAUCAAUAACGACUUUAUUGAAUAAAAUAUGAUUACAAACCACGGGUUUUAGGACAUAAAUUUCAACAAACUCUGACUUGGACUAAAACUCCUAGAGGGAUAAAACAAUGUUGAAUUUAAUAAUGAGAGAACUAUUAUUAUGAAUACAAUAAACUAGGGUUUUCUCCCAAAUUUUCUCCCACUUGUCCUUGUGCACAAACUUCAUGGACCUAAACUCUUUUAGGUGACCUUCAUACACUUUAGCCGUGAAGGACUUUGUAAACUAAAAUAGUCAUAAUUUGCUCAACAAGUAUCAUGGUUACUACAACGUCACUACGAUGCACAAUCACCCAGAUAAGGUAUUACAAUUUUACUUUACGCUUCUUCACACUUCUGCUUUUCCACUUAGAGUGAAUAUUGAUUUCGAUAUACACUUUCUAGCACUUUUAGAAAUCAUAAUCAAUGUAUCCAGUAAGGAUCAGAUCCUUAACACUAUAUAUAGACAAGCUCGUAGUCUUUUGUUCUACUAAGAUAUUUUAGAAUAUUCUUAAAGGUUGUCCAGUAAUCACAUCCGGGAUUGGACUGAUACCCACUGACCAUCCCUGCUGAGUAGCAAAUGUCAGGUCUAGUACAUAACAUUGCAUACAUCAAACUCCCAACAACGGAAGCAUUAAUAUCCUCAACUUUUUGAGAUGUUUUAAGACAUUGUUUCUUUGACAAAUGAAUUCCAUAUAUGUAUGGUAGCAGACCAUUCUUAGACUUGUGCAUCCAAUAUCUUGACAACAUUUUGAUGCUUGAAACAUGGCUAGAGUACUUUUGUUUUUAAGAUUCUGAACAAUUUGGAUUCCGAGAACAUAUUGUGCAUCUCUCCAAAUCUUUCAUUUGAAAUUGCGUAGAUAGUCAUUCUUUGAUGUUGUUAAGGUGGUGUCCCCAAUUUAGGAUUUUAGUAGAUUAAGAGGCGUCAAGCUACGUGAGUUUUUCAUUUUUUGUAUUUUUUAAUUUAAAAGCACACUUAGCCUUUUAGAAUUUUUUUAUAUUUGCCAAUGUAUCAAUAUUUUGGAAUUCCCAAAUUAAAUUAAGGAAUAGUUAAAAUCUUUCGCUAUCAUGCGGUGUAAUCUUUCGCUAUCUGUUUUUUUCCUUUUCCAGAGGGAGCGUUACUUGAUUUACAGUUCUUUUUAAGAAAUAAAACAAAACCAAAUAUCAUUCGGUGAACAUGCAUUAUUAAAAUAGAAACAAAUUUUAUAUCCCAAAUAACCCUGCAAACAUUCCAGAGUCCAGUCAACACAAUUUGUUGAAAGUCUUGUUAGGGUCUUAUUUUACUUCCCUGUAUAUUAAUAACAAACAAACAACCAUUCCUCGUAGUAAAAUCAUCUCUCUUAGAUGGCACUUUGAACAUACAAUCACAAUAAUCAUCCAAAAACAAAAGACACCUGUAAUUGUCUAUUUUCAAUAUAACAAUGCAACAAAUCUCCUUACAACACCACUAAUCUCUAACUCCCUACAUUUCAAAAUUCUUACAAAGCAAACACCAUUAUGCACUAUAAACAAACAAACAUCCAUUAAUCCUUCUCAUUCAUACCAUUUCAACACAAAGACGUUAUUAUUACUGGAAACAACUUUAAUCUUUUUCUUCCACACCAAUGGCGUUUCAAAGACUUAUGCCAUUAUUGUUAGUUCUCUUGUUGCUAACCUCCUUCAACGUGUCGAUGGCAAAGAAAAAAAAGGCAAAAAGCAAAACCGAGAAGCCAGAUUUACCAGAUCCCAACAAUCCUAUUGUCUCGUUCGAAAAGUUUAGAGUUGAAAUUCACAAUGACUUGAAUAUGUACUUGUUAGAUAGUCGUUGCUACUCAAAAGACGACAAUUUCGGGUUGCACGUGUUGUUCCCAGAUGAACAACAAAAUUGGUCUUUUAAAGGGAAUUGGGAUGACACAACGACUUUUCAUUGUAGGUUGGAGUGGGAAAUUGGGUAUUUAGAAUUUGAUAGUUUUAAAAGUGACCCUGCUUUUGUGACAGAUUUUUGUUGCAACAAAACUUGCAUUUGGAGUGCAAGACAAAGUGGGAUUUAUUUGAAUGAUGCAAAUAACCAAGAAAUAUUUUUUGAUUACUGGGAAAUGCUUAGAUAGGAUAAGAGGUCUACAAUUGAUUGUCUGUGGCCUUCUAAUUAUUUUUAUUGAAUUUACACAUUAUUCUAAUUCAUAUAUUUAUAUAUAUUGAUCAAUGAUUAUUUUUUACAGUUACAUAUGUUUUGUAAUUGUCAGAAGUCAGAGUUUGAUUCAUAUAAAUAAAGUGAUUGGAACUGUUGUUGAUGAUUUGUAAUGUUGAAGUGACAAUUAUUGUUUCAGUGGAAAUUGUUUUCCAUCCCAUAUAGUGAAUUAUUGAUAAAUUUUGAUGUUAUGUGAUUUGGAAGUUAACACCGUGAUGGAUGAAUUCUCAGCCAAACUUACAAAAAUUAUUGUCUCUUACCUUUUAUUUUUUCUCUUUCUUUUUUUUAUUUUGCAAAACUUACAAAAAUUAAAAAAUGAGAAUGCAUCCAUCCAUCUAAACUAGUCUAAUUACUACAUUCAUUUAGAAAUUUAUAAAUUAAUAAAGAUGAGUUAGAACGGGAUAUAAUAUAUAUAUAUAUAUAUAUAUAUAUAUAUAUAUAUAUUGAUAUAAUUAGACUUUGAUAAGUUUAAUAAUAUUUGACAUAAAUAGUAGAAUGUCAAUGUAUAAUAUAUGCUCCAAAUGUAUCAAGAAGACCCAAAACAAUGGAUGAGUUAGAAAAUAGUAUAUUUAUUUUUUCAAUAACUUUGUCCUGACUAUAUAUAUAUUUUUCAUAUGACCCAGCAAUUUGAGUAACAUAAGAUAUAUUAGGAUCGUUAUUUUGAGUUGUAGCUGUAGAUUAUCCAAAUAGUAUAAUGAUAUUAGUAAACAAAAUCAAUCAUAGAAGCAUUUUUAAUUAAUUAAUUAAUUAAAAUUGAGAUAAAUGGUCAAAAUGGCAACAUAAGUUACAAGUUUGAUCACACUCUGCUCUAUAUUACCAACUUAAUCCUAAGAUGAAAUAUGACGUUUGGAACACAAUCUGUAUCAAAACUUUUCUUAUCUUUCAAUCUAAAAACAUCGUCUUUUAUAUUUGCCCUAUUGAACCAAUAAGUGGACCUAACACAACGUUUAUUUCCUAAAUUUUUAAUAUUUUGUUUAAUUAUUUUUUUUGGAAAGGUAUUGUAAUAAAUGCAAUGGAUUUGCAUUUGAAUUCUAGACCUUUUGUUCACAAGUAUAUACAGGUGCCAGUUGACAGUAGGCGAUUAUUCAAUUAUUUAAUAAGAGUUAUUAUUCUCAUUAUUAUUCAAUUGCAUAUUAUUGUAUAAUAAAUAUCCAUGAAUAUGUUAUUAUAUUCUAAAUGUCUCUAAUAAAUUAUUAUUGUAGAAACAAUAAUAAAUUAAAUUAGUAUGAGUUAUAAUUUGAUAAUCAUAUACGUUGAUUAUAUAUGUAGAGACAUAAAUUAUAAUCAUAUUUUCUUAUUAGAUAACAAGAAUUGGAUCACUGACCAUUUUUUAGAUUAUUACAUGAACAUAUGUCAUAAAUAAUCUCAAAUAAUUGAUUGUUUUGAUUCUUAGACCUAAGAUUAUCAUAGUGUCAAACAUAAGAAUAUAUUAAACUUUUAUGAUACAAUCAAACGUUGUCUUUAAUCGGAUAAUUAGAAAGGUGGUACUCGAAUACACGUUAUGAAUUAUGUAGUGGACAAUGAUUAUUCAGGAUAGAAUUUAUCUCUUUUUUAUAGAGAGAUAUCUCUGAGCCCCUUGAUUAUAGAUAUCGUGUGAUAAAAGAAUUAAAGCAAUUAUUAUAUUAGGUUAUGUUCGAUCAUCAACUUAAUUUAAUAUGAGUAGUCAUAAUGUUUUACUAGAGACCAAUUAUGACUUAUGGGCCAUAAAACUAGUUAUGAGCUCAUUUUCAUAUUAAAUUAACCUAAUGGAUCGCACACGAAAGAACUUGGUCAAAUUUGUCUCAUGGUUAGGUAAUUAAUAAGCCAAUUGGAGAAGUUGAAUAUUAUUAGGAAAUUCUAAGCUUAUAACUAUGAAAUCCAAAGCUUAUUAGGAGACCCUAGGAAACCUAUAAAUAAUACCUAGACCUUUGGCAUUUUAUUUUAUAGAGAAGCGAAAGACAUAAAUUUGUUCUACACAAAGAGAUAAUAGAGAGAGUCGAAUAUCUCACUUUGUGAGGUUCUAGCAAAUCUGAAUUCGAUGAGUCGAAUUUCUAGUUUGUGUGUAGAUACUGUUAAAGAAUGCUUGUGAUUUCUAGUUGUUCUUUUGGACUCACUAAUUUCGUGUGUGUAUAAAAUAAUUGCAAUACGUCACUGAGUCUGGUCAUUGCGCGUGAUGCGCUCAUCGUAACUCUUUAUAUAACAUAUGUUUUAUUUCUGGGCCAUGGGCCAUGGGUCAUGAUCAUAGAAUACGAAAUGCUCACAAUGUACCUCUUCAUCACGUAAUUCCUAAAUCUUUGAUGAGUAGAAGUUUUCCUACUAUUUGCCCAAGUGCAAGCGAAAUAGUAGGUUUACUUGGGUGAUCUAGGGUUGAACACAAAGAAUUUUUUUAGAUGUUAGUUCUAGAUUUUACUAUUUAUUUAGGCGAGUUGAAAGAAUCAAAGAAUAACAAUUGUAGGAAUUGUCGAAUUACACGACGAGAGUCUAAAGGCAAAGUAAAGAUAAAGAUACAAUAGCACAACUAACUUGUAUUAAAGGACAAUAAUGCAACUAACUUGUAUUAAAGGAAUGAAGGCAAGAAUGUCACUAUAUGUUACCCUUCGUAUGAGUAGAGAGACAACUAUGAUACAAUCUAACUCACUAAGACAAACGUAUGAUUAAGGCAUGCUUCUCUCGAAGGCAUAUAUGUCACACAUAACUGCUUUUCAGAGAUUCAUAUGACCAAGUAUAGCUAGUUGAGUUAUAUCAAGAAAAGACUACUUAUAAGUUCUAUAGUAUUUCAUGAUUAAGGACUAGUACCUCUCGGUAUCCAAUGCCCACACUUGCCCACCUUUCGGGGUCCAAAUGUUAGAAACACUAUCGUGAAGAGGCAAAGUUCCUCCCCGCGUGCGCUAGUUAAGUUCUAGCUAAUUUUCCUUUUUGGGUAAUUAGCAACUCAUGUUGUCCAAGCAAUAACAAAAGCACAAUUAACAUGUUAAAACUUAUAAGUGACUAUUCUUAUCAUGACCUAUCACCUACCCAAACUACUUAUAACACAUUGACUUGUAGAGGAAGAGAGAAAUUGAAAUGAACAACUAUGUUUAUAUAAAACUACAAAAAAUGUAGGUCAUAGACCAAUAUACAAUAUAUACAAUAUGAAGCACAAAACAUGAAAGAAACAACAAAUGGAAGACAAAGCAAAUGGAUUAAUAUUACAAGUUAGGAGAUUGACAUAGAUAGCCUUUUUCUCCAUCUACACUCUUCAAGCCCCUUUCUAGCCUAUUCGGGUCCCCCCUUGGUUGGUGGAGACAAAAUGCUUGUAUAGUCUGCUUUUCGGUGGGAACUUCUAUUCCUCUUAGUGUGUCAGUGUUGUCACUUGGCCUUGUGAGGUCACAUCAUCCCAACUACCAUCCUUGUUUUGUAGUGAGCUUUCUCAUGUGAUGUCUUGGUUUCUUGCCUGGGGUCAUUAAUCGCCAAGCUAGUUCCGAUCGUGUAGCUUUUGCAUGACAUGUCCUAUGUAAUUUGCUCCUUUCUUAUUUUUCCACUUAUCCCGUAUUUAAACAUGAUAACCACGUAAACCAUGAAUGACACUUAUGCAAGCUGUAUUUCUAAAUACUUAUGCAUUUACAACACAAGCCACGCAUUCUGAGAAUCUUCUUAUGCAUUUGACCUCAUUAUUCUAAUAGGAAAUGGUUACAAUAAUGCUCAUUUCUGCACGUUAUCAACUUCGUAGUGUUUUAGUGAUACAAAUUUGGAGGAUCGUCCGCAUUAGAACAAGGCAGUUCAAAUUUGGAACAUCGAUAUAAAGGUAUGCUUAUUCAUGAUUUAAUUGUUUAUGCAAAGUCUGUUUACAUUCUAAGGGUUGGGUUAGAGAAAAAUUUGUUUUGUUAAUUUCGCUGCAUCUAGCCCUAAUUUGUUUUCCAAUAAUUCUCUCACUCUCACUAGAGUGCUGUGCGCGAUGAUGUUUGAAGAAGUGGGGCGGCGGCUACUCUAGGGUUGAAUGGUGAAGGAGAAGAUGAAUAGUAGCUAUGGCACGCAUCACGAGUGGUAUUAAAUAUAUAAAAUACUACUAAUAAUAAUAACAUCAUCAUCAUCAUCAUCAUCAUCAUCAUCAUCAUCUCAUCAUCAUCAUCAUCAUCAUCAUCAUAACUCAUUAUAUCACCUCUUUUACAUUUUUCCUUAAUAAUUAUAUUGUUCUAGAAUAUAAUUAUUCUUACUUCUCCAUAACUCUCUACAUACACAUAUCAAUAAUUACUAAUAAUACUUCCAACUUUACAACUUUAAUUCACCAACUAAUAAAUCCAAAACCAAAUUUUAACAAUAGAAUUUCAAUUUCCAAAAAUUAAUCACACAUCCUUCCAAAACACUUAAUCUCGACGGUUUAAAACAAUUUCACAAGUAACACCCAAAAUUCAACAAAAUAAAAAAUUAAAAUAAAUUAAUAGUUUUGCGGUGUUACAAAGAUAAUCCAAUCAACUUCCAACAAGCUCUACAAAGUUUCAACUCUAAAAAAAGUUGAUAAAUACUAUGGAAGAGGAAAUGAAAUCCAUGAAAAACAAUGACAUUUGGAAACUUGUUGAAUUGUCAUAAGGAGUGAAACCCAUAGGUUGUGAAUGUAUAUUUCAAACCAAAAUGGAUUCACAAGGCAAAAUCAAAAGAUAUAAAGCUCGUCUUGUUGCAAAGGGAUAAUUUUCAAAAGCAAGACAUUGAUUACAAAGAGAUUUUUUCUCUGAUUUCGUCGAAAGACUCUUUUAAGAUAAUCAUGGCAUUGGUAGCUCACUUUGAUUUAGAGCUACCUCAUGGAUGUGAAAAUUAUGUUUCUUAAUGAAAACACUGACGAGACAAUUUAUAUGGCACAACCAGAAAACUUUGUAUCUAAUAAUUCAAAGUCUAUGAUAUGCAAAUAGAAGAAAUCCAUCUAUGGUCUGCAAAUUGAUGAAAUCCAUCUAUGGUCUCAAAAAAUCCUCUUGUUAAUGGUAUCACAAAUUCUACGAAGUAAUUGCCUCUUUUGGUUUUGAGGUGAAUAUAGUGAAAAAUUUUGUACAUCACAAGUUCGGUGGGAGUAAAUCUACUUUCCUCGUGUUAUAUGUUGAUGACAAACUCAUAGCAAGUAGUGAUGUAGGUUUAUUGCAUGAUACUAAGAGAUUUCUCAAAAGGAAUUUUGAGAUGAAGGAUCUUGGUGAUGUUUCUUUUGUAUUUUGAGAUGCCGCAAAAGAACUACAUUGAAUUUUUUUGUAAUUAUCACAAAAGAACUAUAUUGAAAUUUUUUUAGUAGAUUUGGCAUGAAAGAUUAUGCAUCAGGAGAUACCCCGUUGCUAAAGUUGAUAAAUUUCAUUUAGGUCAAUGCCCCAAGACCACAUUCGAGAUUAAUCAGAUGCAGAAGGUUCCUUAUGCAUCGACUAUUGGAAGCCUAAUGAAUGUUUAAAUUUGCAUGCAUCCAGAUAUUGCGUUCAUAGUCGAAGUGUUAGGCAGAUAUUUGAGAAACCCGAUGAUGGAUUAUUAGAGAGUAGCCAAAUGGGUUAUAAGGUAUUUAAAAAGAACAAAAGAUUAUAUGCUCACUUAUCGGAGAUUAGAAAUUUUGGAGAUCAUUUGGUAUUUUGAUUUUGAAUAUGUUGGAUGUGAAUACAAUUUGUGAUCCACUUCAGGUAACUUCAUGUUGGUUAAAGGAGUUAUAUUUUGGAAAAGUGUUAAACAAACACUUAUGGCUUCCUCUACCAUAGAUGUGAAGUUUAUAGCAUGUAAUGAGGCAUCUAGUCAUGGAAUAUGGUUGCGAAAUUUUGUCACUAGGCUGCAAAUAAUAGUUGGCGAAGACGAAUAAAAUUAUUUUUAGUAUUGUAUUCCAAUAACAAUAGAAGCAAUAUAAAGUCAAAGCAUAUGUAGACAUGAAGCUUCUAGUUGUGAAAGAAAGAGAUCAUAGUGGUCAAAAUUUUGAUAAAACACAUAAAGAACAAACUUGAUAAUGACAUAUUAAUUGGCUAAAAGUAGACAACUAAAGUUUUCUAUGAGCAUUUUGCUCAUAUUGGUGUUAGUCAAUUUUCUAAUUCCAUGGUUUAGUGGGAGCUGUUUGGAUGUUCUUUGACCUUAAUUUUUUUGUUUUCUAUAUAGAAUAAAGUUGAUGGUUUAGGUUUUAUCAUCUGAACUUAUUUAUCAUGCAUGCAGUUUUGCAAAUGCAGUUUGGCAUAAAGUUUUUUUAGAAUGAUCUCAGCAAAGAAUUUGGCUCAGUUGGAAACAGACGUGAUCAAAAUCACUUUGCAUGUAGUUUCCAUGCAAUCCAUCCAUACUUGAUCUAUGUCAUUGAGUGUAUUAGAAUUGGUGAUUUAUUAUAAUAAAGUGUAACCCUUUAGGGUUCUAGGCAGUCCUGUAAUAAAAUUCAUCGACACAUUCUCCCACUUUCAUUCUGGCACACUCAAAGGCUGUAACAAACUUGCUGGUUCCUGUCUAGGUGCCUUAACCUGCUGACACACUAGGCACUUACUAACAAACUCUGCCACUUUCCUCUUCAUAUUCUGCCACCAAUAAAAUCGUUUUAGAUCCUGAUACAUUUUCGUACUACCAGGAUGCAUGGAAAAUGAGGAACUAUGGGCUUCGUUCAAUAAGUCAGUCAUAAUUGUAAUGUCUGCUGGCACACACAGACGUCUCUCAAAAUUACAUUUAUCUUUAUUAAUUUUUCUUGCACUUCAUUCACUUGAAUCUCAAACCACACGAAACACCCUCAUUUACCACUUUAACUAAAAUAUUAACUUUGAGAAACUAAUCUUCAUGCUUCCUUGUAUUGCUUAGUAGUAUAGGUAGUAUUGAUCGGUAUAGCUUAAAUUUCGUUUGUUUAGUCAUUUACGGAUGAGAGUGAAAAGGCUACAUCACUAUCCUUCAAUCACACCUUUCAAAUUUUCUAUUAAUUAAUUAUUACCGUGAAAAAAUGGAAAAAAAUGACCUUUUUAAUUGUUUGUAUUUCUUUUAUACCUGCAUGGAUGCUGGCUUUUCUAAUUCUUUUCUAAUUUUAGAAAGACUACAAAACAAAAAUCAGUCAACAUACAUCAAACCAUUACAUUUUUAGACAAAGUAUUUUUUAUACUCUAUCCAUAUUAUGAAAAAAAAAAAAAAAAGAUAACAAAAUCAUUCAUGAUAUCAAAUUUCCCUUAAAUUUUUCAACAAACUUAACUAUUUUAAGUCUUUUCCACGUCAAAAACUUGUAUAUAUAAACACAUACACGUAACUCACAAGAACAUUGAAUCCUUUAGAAAUUUAGAGGAAACCAAAGUAGCAUUUUACUGGUGAGAUUAUUUCUUUCAAGAAAAAAAUUAAACCUAUGCAUCAAAUCGUAUUAUUAUUCACAUGCCUCUUACUUAUCAUAUUCCGACCAACGGUCGGAAGCAAAGAACAACAAUCGAUCAGAUCUCUUAUUUAUAUCCCGAAGUUUCACCUAGAAAUUCGCAACGAGUUGAAAAUGUAUAUAAUGGAUUGUCAUUGUUGGUCCAAAGAUAACGAUUUAGGGUUACAAAUACUUCUUCCAGAUGAAAGGCAAAGUUGGCCCUUCAGAAGGAACUUUAUGGGAACAACAUUAUUCCAUUGUAGAUUGGAAUGGGAAAGAGGGUUUAGGGAAUUUGAUGCAUUUUUUGUUGACGAAGAUUUCGUUAAUCAAUUUUGUCCCAACUUUCUAUGCGUUUGGAUAGCCAAACAAGAUGGGCUUUACAUGCUGAAUGAAGCUGGUCAACUUGUUUUUCAUCAUCAUUGGAAAUUGCUCCGAAUGCCCUCCUUGUAAUGAGGGUUUGGCUCUUAUCAAAUUGGGUUUAUGGGUUAAAUUAAUUAUUUGUCUCCAUUUAUUAUUAAGUCCACCUUGAACAUUUUUCAGGUGUUAUUUAUUUUUUAUUAUUUUUUAAGUUCAACGAAAAUGUGACCUUUUAACCUUUUGAUUAAAGGUAUAUGUUGCAACUAUUGUACUCUAACAAAACUUUUUGAUGUGUGAUGUGACCAAAUAUCUCCACACGUCGUUCAAAACGUGUCAAUAUUCAUUUAUCUUUGAACUUUGAAAAAUAUUAUUUAUUUAUUUAUAUAUUUGUAUAUCGUAGCUACGAGAAUGAGUUAAAUUGUUUACUUGGAUGAAGAAGCAACUAAAAUAAAAUGAAUAUUAAUUUCUUUUGUAAUCGUGAAGGGUCUUUAGAAUUUAUGGUUUACAAAGACUACUUUUUAGAGACCAUUACCAACCAACUACUAACAAUAGUUUUUAGUUGAACGUCACCAACUAACUACAAACGUUCAAUGUCGUCAACCUUAAUUUGUCAUUUUACAGUGACCGCCAUCAACCACCUCAAACCAACAUCCUCGAUGAUCGUUAACCAACUUUUAUCGAAAUCUCCAUGGAUAAAUCCUUUUAUUGUAAUCGAAAAUAUAAAAAAACACAUUUCUUUUUAUUUUAAAAAGUUUUUAGACAAAUAUAAUGUUUAAAUGCAAAUUCUUUUUUGUUAAAAAAAAAAAAAAAACUUUGUUUUUAAUGUGCUCUUUUCCGAUCCUUAGGUUAGGUGAGAGAUGCUCCAUUAACAAAAUAUUUUUAUAUAUUUAACUUAUAUAUACCUCUGUUCACUUGUUAGUAAGUUUUUCUUCAAGACCUGUCUCUGGUUGCUCCAAUUAAUUAACUACAUCAUUUCAUUAAGAAUUAGCAACCUUUCUUUCUUUUAAGCACGAUACAUGUAGAACAAUCUCAAUACUCAAUACCAAAAGUGAUCAACUUUAUUAGUUAGUAAACCUUUGGUAAAUACAAUCUCUUGUUCUUUCUUUUCUUCUAACUUUUUUCCCUUUUCUAACUUUCUUUCUAUAAUAGCUCAUACUAAUUAAGGUAAGCUUGAGUAUGUUGAAGGUGAGGGGAGUUCUCACACUUAUAGGAAGUCAAAGUUCCAUUGAGAGAGAGUCUCACACUUUAGGAGAAGUCAAGUGAAAACUUUCUAAGUUUGGGCUAUUCGAGUGUCACUGUAAUUAUAAUUUAUUUAGGUGUAAGUAUAUCGUUGUAAUUGUUUGACUUUAUAUUGAAGAAGGAAGAGAAUAAAAAUAUGUAAAAUAGAGAAGUAAGAUAGUGUUGAGAUUUAUGUCCUAAAACUCGUAGAUUGUAAAUAUAAUUCAUUGAUCGUUAUUAAUAAAAUGUUAUUAUUAUAGUUUCAAUAAAUGUCAUUCAUUAUAUUAUUAGUUUUGUCUUAAUAACCUAAAUCUAAUAAACUGACAUCCUAAGUUGUUUGAUGAGUCUUGAACAAUAUGUAGAGACAUACAAGGAUCAACGUUCGAGAUUAAAGGGUCUAUAGUAGAGGGAUAAGGUUGGGUACCUUAUCCUGGUAACACUAUGGAUACGACUCACCUUGCAUUUAAUACAAACACAAUGAUCCAACGCAUUCGUGUAGGUGAUAUGCGAGUGAGGUAUCCUAUACAAUGAGUUUGCAUAAGACCAAACCACGAAAUAGUAACCACUAUAUGUAACUCCAUUAACUAGUUAGGUUUCUAUUUCAUUAGGAUGACCUAUGUAACUUAGUCUUAAUCCUGAGUGUAUUAUGAACUUCUGUUCGUGAGGGAUUGUCCUUUGAUUUGUACGGGUGAGAUCAGGGGCUAGAUUGUCGACUCAAUAUGCUUAUCAUUUUGGGGACAAGACCGAGUGAGGAGCUGGAAACAUAAUUACCCAAGAUGGAAUUCACUCCUUUCUAACUUCAUGAUAAGUAAAUGAGUGUUUUCUUAAAUGGUGUCUCCAGAACUUAAACAAAGGGCCCUACCCUCUUUAUGGCACGAGAGGGGUUUUUGUGUAUUGGUUGAACCAUAAACAUAUUGUUCAUUAAAAGAGCACUGGUAUUUAAUGACUAGAAGUAACACAAGGGCAAAAUGGUAAUUUUGAUGGCAACGGUAGACAUGCAUAGUGAAAUAAGGAUCAAACUUUACUAUAAUUACAACUAAACAAAUUUAGUAAUUAACAUGCAUAAUAACCCUAAUAUAAACAAAGAUAGGGUGAAAAGAAAAACUCGCAUUUGAUGCUUUUCUCUUCUUGUAAUCUCCUCAACAACUUUUUGCAAUCUCCUCACAAUCUCGAAUCCAGGACUACCACUAGAGUGACUGGCAAUUCUUUGGACUUGGAACCGAGUUUUGGGACUGAAAGAAGGUGGAGGAAUUAGAGAGGGAUGAUACGUUUUGGAGGAAUCUAACUCUUAAAUCUUUUUUUGUUGUUGAGAGUAAAAGAAGUUCUUAGAUUAUUUGUUUGUAAUUCACCAUUACAAAAUUACUUUUUGCAUCAGAAACACAAGAGUCCUUUCAUCUUUGCAGAAGAAACUUUUACAAGCAAACUACAUGCAAGAGCUUUCCUAUAUCACCUCUUGGCAUUCUUAAUGGGGUAGGUAUCUUGCAUGCAAUAAGCCACUUGCAUACCACAUGCAAGUGAUAAGUUUGUCAAAUCUCAACAAGUGUUACUAUUUAAAUUAGUUUAAGGGCAAUGUGGUAAUUUAACAUUUCAAUCAAAUUCAAAUUUUGACUUUUUAAGUCCAAAGUCAACAUUUUGACUUAUUACCAUUUUGUCUGUCUUGACUAAUUUCGACCUUUCGAGUAUGAAUCCACAUUCAUUCUCUAAAAUUCAAAUCACAUUUGAAUAUAAAGUCGGUUAAAGUUUGGCUUUUCAAAGUCAAAAGUCAACAUUUUGACUUUUCACAACUUUGACCAUUUCCAUCAAUUCUAAGCUUUCAAAUACGAAUCUAUAUUCAUAUUUUUAAUAUUUAAAUCAUAUUUAAACAUGAAACUCUAUCUUAAGCUUAUAACUAACGACUAUAUCAAAUAUAUUUGUCGGUUUCUCUCUCUUUACCUAAUUCGAACAAUUUGAAUUAUUCUAUAAUAAUGUUCUAAGUUGAUUUCUUGUGAGCUUGUAGGGGAACCUAAUGGACCUAUAGAUCAUGGGCUCAACGAUCUGAGUUUAACUAGUUAAACUCUUUGAGAUCGAGUCAAUCAACAUUUGUUAACUAAUGGAUCAUUCCACUAAAUUCCCGUAGUUGCACUCCCCUCACUAUAGAUAUAUUUGUGUCCAUGUGAUAUAACCAUGAUAAGUAAGUUAAUCCUCCACAGGUUGUUCGUAACCUCGGUUAGGUCAAAGUAUUGUUUUACCCCGAUACUAUAUCUUGCUCCUUAAGUCCAACUGAUCCACUAUUGAACAAUUGGUUUAAGGUACAACCUUUAAAUUAAAUUUAAAUGAUGGUUUAAGGUACAACCCUUAUUUAUGUCUUGCGCCCUAUGUUCCUAGCUAUCUACCCGGUCUUACCCAUGAAAUGAGAGGCUUAUUAGGCCAGCGUCAUUGGACUGUCUUCACCUAUACAGAUCGAAGGAUAAUUUCGUGUGAAUAAAAGUUCGUAGUUAGCUCAGGAUUAAGAUUAAGUUAUAUUGGAUAUCAAUAAACGAAAUAGUCGGUUUUAUUAAAUUCAACGAUGUUAUAACUUAAAAAUGACUAUUUCAUAGUUCCAGUCUUAUGUAAACCUUUUACAUAGGAUGCCCCCACUUCCAUGUCUCUACUGAACGAUUCAGGAUCACAUCGUUUGUACUAACUACAAAGCAGACCACAUCCAUAGUGUCCCCAGAAUAAGGUGUCCAACCGUAUUCGUAUACUAUAGACUAUUUAGGGUAUAUACUCGAACUUGAUAACGUUAUGUCUCUACAUAAAGUUAAAAUUUAUUCAAUAAUAGCCUUAGGUUCUUAGUUUAUUGGCUUUAAGAUUAUAGUAUCAAUAACGACUUUAUUGAAUAAAAUAUGAUUACAAACCACGGUUUUAGGACAUAAAUUUCAACAAACUCUGACUUGGACUAAAACUCCUAGAGGGAUAAAACAAUGUUGAAUUUAAUAAUGAGAGAACUAUUAUUAUGAAUACAAUAAACUAGGGUUUUCUCCCAAAUUUUCUCCCACUUGUCCUUGUGCACAAACUUCAUGGACCUAAACUCUUUUAGGUGACCUUCAUACACUUUAGCCGUGAAGGACUUUGUAAACUAAAAUAGUCAUAAUUUGCUCAACAAGUAUCAUGGUUACUACAACGUCACUACGAUGCACAAUCACCCAGAUAAGGUAUUACAAUUUUACUUUACGCUUCUUCACACUUCUGCUUUUCCACUUAGAGUGAAUAUUGAUUUCGAUAUACACUUUCUAGCACUUUUAGAAAUCAUAAUCAAUGUAUCCAGUAAGGAUCAGAUCCUUAACACUAUAUAUAGACAAGCUCGUAGUCUUUUGUUCUACUAAGAUAUUUUAGAAUAUUCUUAAAGGUUGUCCAGUAAUCACAUCCGGGAUUGGACUGAUACCCACUGACCAUCCCUGCUGAGUAGCAAAUGUCAGGUCUAGUACAUAACAUUGCAUACAUCAAACUCCCAACAACGGAAGCAUUAAUAUCCUCAACUUUUUGAGAUG
rnacentral:lncRNA from 1 species